CCUACGGGAGGCAGCAGUAAGGAAUAUUGGGCAAUGGGCGCGAGCCUGACCCAGCCAUGCCGCGUGCAGGAAGACGGCCCUAUGGGUUGUAAACUGCUUUUAUACGGGAAUAAAUGUGGGUAUGUAUACUCAUUUGCAAGUACUGUAUGAAUAAGCAUCGGCUAACUCCGUGCCAGCAGCCGCGGUAAUACGGAGGAUGCGAGCGUUAUCCGGAUUUAUUGGGUUUAAAGGGUGCGCAGGCGGAUAUAUAAGUCAGUGGUGAAAGACCUGGGCUCAACCGAGGUACUGCCGUUGAUACUGUAUAUCUUGAGUGUAGUGGGCGUUGGCGGAAUGUGUCAUGUAGCGGUGAAAUGCAUAGAGAUGACACAGAACACCGAUAGCGAAGGCAGCUGACGAUACUAACACUGACGCUCAUGCACGAGAGCGUGGGGAUCAAACAGGAUUAGAUACCCUGGUAGUCCACGCUGUAAACGAUGAUCACUAGCUGUAGGCGAUACACUGUCUGUGGCUAAGCGAAAGCGAUAAGUGAUCCACCUGGGGAGUACGUCGGCAACGAUGAAACUCAAAGGAAUUACGG
rnacentral:rRNA from 1 species